GGACGCUUCCUUCGGGAAGCGAGCGUACACAGGUGCUGCAUGGCUGUCGUCAGCUCGUGUCGUGAGAUGUGGUUAAGUCCCAUAACGAGCGCAACCCUACCUUUAGUUGCCAUCAGGUAAUGCUGGGGACUCUAAAGGAACUGCCUACGCAAGUAGUGAGGAAGGCGGGGAUGACGUCAAAUCAGCACGGCCCUUACGUCCAGGGCUACACACGUGCUACAAUGGCCGAUACAGAGGGCAGCUACCUGGUGACAGGAUGCAAAUCUCCAAAGUCGGUCUCAGUUCGGAUCGGAGUCUGCAACCCGACUCCGUGAAGUUGGAUUCGCUAGUAAUCGCGCAUCAGCCAUGGCGCGGUGAAUACGUUCCCGGGCCUU
rnacentral:rRNA from 1 species